rnacentral:misc_RNA from 1 species
AGUUAAUAUCUUCCGCAAAUGAAUUUUGUUGUCCAAUCUUGUCAUCAUAACAUCCAGGAACACCAAGAGAAGAAUGCCUGCCGAGAACAUUAACUGUAACCUCUCCAUGAUCUGUAGCAGUCAACCGUGCUUGAUCACCUAUGCCAUUGUGAAUCUCAGUAACUGAACUCUUUGCCAUACCCUGCAUUUUGGACCCAUACUUCCUCCCUUCUACGUCUAGGUACUCUCUAUUGAUAGACGACUUAUCAAUGAAGUUAGAAUCCGCGAGAACUGCCUGCGAAGUCUCACUAAUGCCUAACAAUGAUAAAUUUCCCCCACAUGUUGCUCCAGAUUCAGAUCUAAGCAGUAAUUUUUCUGUGUUUCCCAUAUUACUUGCCCGCUCACCAGCUGAAGAAACCUCUGCUAGUUGACAAGUAUUAGAACCAUAAGACCCUAUUGCAAGUG